CACUUGCUCUCUGCUCACUGUGGGAUAAGCAGAAGCAGCUGGUCCUACCCCCUUGCUAGUGAUGAAUGGCCAUUACAGACUGUAGUCUGCCCCAGAGGAUGGGGGCUGGAUGAUGACUGGCAGUAACCACUG